CAUUAUUAGUUGGUUUCUGUUUUCAAAAUACCAAAGCCAUGAGAAAUUUUUUCUUCAUCCUACUCGCCAUGAUGAUGGCAGCCUUGGUGGCUGGGACAACAGAUCUCCGCAUCAGAAGGGAGCCUCAAGUAGCUGAGCCGGCAUUCGUCAAGAAAGACGCCUACAAGACCGGUGGUAAAAAGUGAUUGAUAAAACAAAUCGUUUUUUUUGUGCAAAAAAGUAUGCGUCAUUAGUUAUCAAUAAAGUUAGCUCAAUUAGUGGAAUUAAA